rnacentral:rRNA from 1 species
UACAGAGGUCCCAAGCGUUGUUCGGAUUCACUGGGCGUAAAGGGUGCGUAGGUGGCGAGGUAAGUCGGAUGUGAAAGCUCGGGGCUUAACCCCGAAAUGGCAUUGGAAACUACCUUGCUUGAGGGUUGGAGGGGGGACUGGAAUUCUCGGUGUAGCAGUGAAAUGCGUAGAUAUCGAGAGGAACACCAGUGGCGAAGGCGAGUCCCUGGACAACACCUGACACUGAGGCACGAAAGCUAGGGGAGCAAACAGG